rnacentral:rRNA from 1 species
GACAGAGGUGCCGAGCGUUAGGCGGAAUCACUGGGCUUAAAGCGUGUGUAGGCGGGCGGGCAAGUACCUUGUGAAAUCCCACGGCUCAACCGUGGAACGGCUGGGUAUACUGCCUGUCUUGAGCCAACUAGGGGCGAGCGGAACAGACGGUGGAGCGGUGAAAUGCGUAGAUAUCGUCUGGAACGCCAAAGGUGAAAACAGCUCGCUGGGGGUGCACUGACACUGAGACACGAAAGCCAGGGGAGCGAACGGG